rnacentral:rRNA from 1 species
UAACACUUGGAAACAGGUGCUAAUACCGUAUAACAAUCAAAACCGCAUGGUUUUGAUUUGAAAGGCGCUUUCGGGUGUCGCUGAUGGAUGGACCCGCGGUGCAUUAGCUAGUUGGUGAGGUAACGGCUCACCAAGGCCACGAUGCAUAGCCGACCUGAGAGGGUGAUCGGCCACAUUGGGACUGAGACACGGCCCAAACUCCUACGGGAGGCAGCAGUAGGGAAUCUUCGGCAAUGGACGAAAGUCUGACCGAGCAACGCCGCGUGAGUGAAGAAGGUUUUCGGAUCGUAAAACUCUGUUGUUAGAGAAGAACAAGGAUGAGAGUAACUGUUCAUCCCUUGACGGUAUCUAACCAGAAAGCCACGGCUAACUACGUGCCAGCAGCCGCGGUAAUACG